rnacentral:rRNA from 1 species
CGCCAGUUUUGGCGGAGCCAUCCUUGGGAUACCACCCUUGUAGUACUGGGACUCUAACCAUAGGCCAUGAAUCUGGUCUUGGGACACUGUCAGGUGGGCAGUUUGACUGGGGCGGUCGCCUCCCAAAAGGUAACGGAGGCGCUCAAAGGUUCUCUCAGUACGGUCGGAAAUCGUACGUAGAGUGUAAAGGCAAAAGAGAGCUUGAUUGCAAGACAUACAGGUCGAGCAAGGAUGAAAAUCGGACUUAGUGAUCCGGUGGUUCUGCGUGGAAGGGCCAUCGCUCAACGGAUAAAAGCUACCCUGGGGAUAACAGGCUUAUCUCCCCCAAGAGUCCACAUCGACGGGGAGGUUUGGCACCUCGAUGUCGGCUCAUCACAUCCUGGGGCUGUAGUAGGUCCCAAGGGUUGGGCUGUUCGCCCAUUAAAGUGGUACGCGAGCUGGGUUCAGAACGUCGUGAGACAGUUCGGUCCCUAUCCGUCGCAGGCGUAGGAAAUUUGAGAAGACCUGUCCUUAGUACGAGAGGACCGGGAUGGACGUACCUCUGGUGUACCAGUUGUUCUGCCAAGGGCAUGGCUGGGUAGCUAUGUACGGAAUGGAUAAGCGCUGAAAGCAUCUAAGCGCGAAGCCAACU